UACGUAGGGUGCAAGCGUUAAUCGGAAUUACUGGGCGUAAAGCGUGCGCAGGCGGUGAUGUAGACAGAUGUGAAAUCCCCGGGCUUAACCUGGGAACUGCAUUUGUGACUGCAUCGCUGGAGUGCGGCAGAGGGGGAUGGAAUUCCGCGUGUAGCAGUGAAAUGCGUAGAUAUGCGGAGGAACACCGAUGGCGAAGGCAAUCCCCUGGGCCUGCACUGACGCUCAUGCACGAAAGCGUGGGGAGCAAACAGG
rnacentral:rRNA from 1 species